AAGUCGUAACAAGGUUUCCGUAGGUGAACCUGCGGAAGGAUCAUUAACACGUAUCCAAACGUUAAAACCCCCCCCGUGAACCUUCAUCCUGCUCUUGUAACCCGCGUAGUUCGCAAUCUCUGAUAAAUCAUAGCCCGGAAAGUUGUAGUGAUUCAGAGACCUCUGGCUACGUGCGAACAUUGGAACAGUUACAAUCGAGCGGUAGUUCUAUAGGCAAUGUUUCCCCAAGCAGUCAGUGUCGGAAAGUGUCAUUGAUUGUGCAAGGAUAGCGCUUCUACGUGUAUUACAUUGAGCUUCACAUGAAACUGUGGGGUUAUUAGUGGGCAUGGGGCCCCUUUGGCAAAGCUCCUGCCCGAGUGUACGGUCUAAAACCGAACAACUGUUAACAAUGGAUAUCUUGGUUCUC
rnacentral:misc_RNA from 1 species